GCGGGCCAAGGGCGGGCGCGGGCGCAGGGCAGGUGCGGGCCAAGGGUAGGUGCGGGCCAAGGGUAGGUGCGGGCGCAGGGCAGGUGGGGGCCAAGGGCAGGUGCGGGCCAAGGGUAGGUGCGGGCGGCCUGCCCUGGACCCGGAGAAACUGGCUCAUGGAAACAGGACGCAUCUCCGUGAGGAGAUGCUCCUCUGCCCCCCUGGGUCACUCCGCGUGUUCUUGAAAUGCACAAGGAAAAUACCCAUUUGUGGGAAACUGGAAAGGCACGUAUUUGUUUACUAACAUUUAGAAUUCCGUUAAAAUAUAACAUGGAGUUACUAUAUUUUUAAAAGAGUCCGGUUGACAAAACCAGUAGCAUGUGGACUCUGUUUUCUGUCUGGGGGUGCGUAUGGGAAUACUAUGUUAGAGUGUUUCUGUACAAAAAGCGAUUACAUUUUUCAACCUCUGAGUUUAAGCAGUGGUUUGCAGAGGAAGUAAUUGACAGUCGUGUUUCCAGACUACAGAUAUGGCUUCAUGAGCUACACAGUUAAAAAAAUGUGUGUUUUUUCCUUAAAUAUAUGCAUUUUUAUUGAAUUUUAGCGCGAUGAAAUUGGUGGAGUAAAUUUUAGACAGCGACACGUUGUUGACUGGGGGCAUCUAGUGGAAAAAUGUAGUAUUUCAGCCUGAUUGUGUACAAGGUAAAUGGCUAAGCAAAAACCAGAGGAAGUUGCCACAUUCUGGAAUGUUUACUUCUGACCGUCAGAGAAACCUCAAGUAUGGCUAAAGGUUCUGAAUACGAGAAAAGUUUUGGCGAUUUAGGACAUAACAAAUGCGGGAAGGAGGUUGGUAGUGAGGCUGGGGAAUAUUCCAGUUGUGAAACUAUUUCCUACAUGACCACAUCCUGACACCCCUGAACCUGUCUCUUCAAUAUUUUAAAAACAGCUCACUUUCCCUCCUUUUCUUGUGCACUCAACGCUUUCCUUUUUCAAUGAAAGCCACUGGGAAAAAAGCUUUACAUUAUAUUCCAUGUUGAUCAUAAAUUAAUAAGUAGCCACAGACCUUUCUUUAAAAAGUUAUAUUUUAAAUUUUCAUGUUUGCAAUUUGGGAUUAAAGGUGUACAGUAAAAUUACAUCAUCAGCCUCAUCACAUGUAAGUAACAUAUUUUUCAAAGAAACAUUUAAUUUUUACUGUGUUUAACAGAAGAAAACUGAAGUGAAGCCAAAGAAAAUGUUGAACUUCAGAAAAGUGUUCUUAAAAGCAGAUACUAAGCCCCCCAAUUUCUAUUAAAAUUUAAAAAGGAUGAACUAAACUUUAAGAGAUUGAAAUUAUUAAACUAAUUUUCAAUAUGUUUCUUUACCAUUAGAAAUAUGUAGUUACUGUUGACUUAAUAAAACAUAAUUUAAUAACUUACAUUAUUUUUAGGGUGACUUUCCAAGAAAAAUUAAUAGAGAUACUGAUCUGUGAGAAAAUCAUUUUAUAAACAUAACAGCAAAAUGUCGGCAUCUUAAAAAAACUCUCAAAGAUCAACUGUGUAUUUAGAUAUCAGGUGGUCCGCUCCUCCUCUCUGAAUUGCUAAGCAAGUGGAGAUUUGGCUUUGUUUAAGGAAACAAUAGUAUUUCUUACAUAUGUUCGAAUGUGCCCUAAGAACAGAAGUAGAGAACUUUUUCUAUAAUGUAAUCUCUGAGCAGCACUCAGUGGUUUUUCUGUCCUUCAUUUUGCCUUUUGGUAUCUUGUGAAUCAAUGUUUAUUUAGUAAGGAAAUGCCCAUUUUUCCUGAGAGUUCAGUUCAUCUGUAGCUUCUGGAAGGCACAGAAAAAAUUUUUUAUUUUGUCUACUUACUAAGCAAGGUAGAAAAAAAUUUUCAAACAUAACUUUUUUUUAGAAGGAUAUGUUUAUUUUUUUAUUUUAGAGAUGGAGAGAGAGAUACUGCCUCUGACGUGUACCCCGACUGGGGAUUGAACCUGAAACCUGGGUAUGUGCCCCGACCAGGAAUCAAAACCUUUGGAGUAUGGGACGACCCUCCAACCAACUGAGACACACCGGCCAGGGCCGUUCUUUUUUAUUAAGUGCUAUAGAUACCAGACAAUUUUUUACCUUAGAAACUACAUUCAAUAUAUUCCAUUAUCUAGUCAAUCAAACAUCGAUUGAGCGCCUGCUAUGUUUGAGGCACUAUAAUGGGCUCUCGGACCCAGCAGUGCAUGAAAGUCCUUUCAUUCUAUUGGGGAGACAGAUGAACAAGCCAAUAUGUGGGAUGGCAGGGGUUGUAAAUCUCACGCAGGAGAACCACGUAGGGGAGUUGCCCAGUUUUCACUGUGGUUAGAGAAGGCUUCACUGAUGGAGUUGUUGGUUCGGUAGAAACUUGAAGGAGAAAGGGGG